rnacentral:tRNA from 1 species
GGGGUUGUGGCUCAGCGGUGGAGCGCUCUUUUAGCACUUGAGAGGCUCUGGGUUAGAUCCUCAGCAACACAU